rnacentral:rRNA from 1 species
UGCCGGACUGACUGCUAUCGGAUUGGUACUAAGCCAUGCGAGUCGUUGUACAAUACAAGGCGGACUGCUCAGUAACACGUAGAUAACUUAACCUAUGGAUGGGAAUAACCUCGGGAAACUGAGAAUAAUACCCAAUGGGCCACAGUGCCUGGAAUGGCCUGUGGUUGAAAUGAUUUAUCGCCGUAGGAUAGGACUGCGGCCUAUCAGCUUGUUGGUGAGGUAAUGGCCCACCAAGGCUAUAACAGGUACGGGCUCUGAGAGGAGGGGCCCGGAGAUGGGUACUGAGACACGGACCCAGGCCCUAUGGGGCGCAGCAGGCGAGAAACCUUUGCAAUGUGCGAAAGCACGACAAGGUUAAUCCGAGUGUCUCCUGCUAAAGGAGUCUUUUGUCAGUUGUAGAGUCACUGGUGAAUAAGGGGUGGGCAAGUUCUGGUGUCAGCCGCCGCGGUAAAACCAGCACCUCGAGUGGUCAGGAGGUUUAUUGGGCCUAAAGCAUCCGUAGCCGGUUGCAUAAGUUUUCGGUUAAAUCUAUGCGCUUAACGUAUAGGCCGCCGAAAAUACUGUGCAGCUAGGGAGUGGGAGAGGUACACGGUACUCGAUAGGAAGGGGUAAAUCCUUUGAUCUAU